UACAGAGGGGGCAAGCGUUAUUCGGAAUUAUUGGGCGUAAAGGGCGCGUAGGCGGCUUGGCAAGUGGAUGGUGAAAUCCCUCGGCUUAACCGAGGAACUGCCGUCCAAACUGCUUAGCUUGAGACCGGGAGAGGUGAGUGGAAUUCCCAGUGUAGCGGUGAAAUGCGUAGAUAUUGGGAGGAACACCAGUGGCGAAGGCGGCUCACUGGACCGGUACUGACGCUGAGGCGCGAAAGCGUGGGGAGCGAACAGG
rnacentral:rRNA from 1 species